AGAGGUCCCGAGCGUUGUUCGGAUUUAUUGGGCGUAAAGGGUGCGUAGGCGGCGGAGUAAGUUGGGUGUGAAAUCCCGGGGCUUAACCUCGGAAUGGCAUUCAAUACUGCUUCGCUCGAGUACUGGAGAGGAGGCUGGAAUUUACGGUGUAGCAGUGAAAUGCGUAGAUAUCGUAAGGAAGGCCGGUGGCGAAAGCGAGCCUCUGGACAGUUACUGACGCUGAUGCACGAAGGCCAGGGGAGCAAACGGGAUUAGAUACCCCGGUAGUCCUGGCAGUAAACGGUGCGCGUUUGGUGUGGGGGGAUUCGACAAUCUCCGCGCCGGAGCUAACGCGUUAAACGCGCCGCCUGGGAAAUACGGUCGCAAGAUUA
rnacentral:rRNA from 1 species